CAUUUCCGACAGGGGAGCGCCUGAGACGGCGCUGAGAGUGCGGCGAGGGAUCUGACCGAGGAUCCCAGGCCGCAGACCCUCCCACCUGAUCCGGGUCAUGCCGGCGUAGGGAGUCACAGACGAUGAGAA
rnacentral:ncRNA from 1 species